GUCAUCUAAGGGUGCACCACGGAUUCUAAGACAAACUACUCCUGAACUUCUGAAUAUUGCACUAUAGAUACUGAACACAGAUAACUUGGUGUAGCUCUAGUCAUAUAUUUAUUACGAAAUUAUGAUAUCAACCAUUAAGACAUUUUAAAAUGAACAGAAUUUCAAUUUCACAAUAAUGGAUCAUAAUUCUCAAAGAACACAUAUGAUGAGUCUAUACCAGGUUAUAGCAACAGCGCUCCUUCUAAUGGUGGCCAUUACUAUGAAUCCUACAACUGCAACCACUACAACCAUCAAAGAUGCAUCAACAACUGGUGAACGCACUAAAACCGUCAAAGAUGGAUCAACAACUGGUGAACCCUCUACAACCAUCAAAGAUGCAUCAACAACUGGUGAACCCACUAAAACCGUCGCUGAUGCAUCGACAAAAACUGGUGAACAACUACAAACGUCACUGAUUCACCAAGAACAACUCGUGAUCCCACUACAACUACCAAUGAGUUAUCAAAAACUAAUGGUGAACCCAUUACAAUCGUUUCUUGGUCAUCGACAACGACUGGUGAACCCACCACAACGAUCAAUCAUUCAUCCAGAAAAACUGGUGAAAAAACUACAACCGUCACUGACACAUCGACAACGAAUGGUGAACACACUGCAACAGCCAUUGAUGCAUCGACAAAAACAGGUGAGGCCAAUACAACCGACAAUGAUUCACCACCAACAACUGGUGACCCCACUACAACUGUCACUAAUGCAUCGACAACUAUUAGUGAAAUCACUUCAAAAGGCACUGGCGCAUCAAAAACAACUUAUGCACCGACUACAACCAAAACAGGUGUUGUUAUCAAAAACAACUAGUGAACCCACUACAUCCGUCACUGAGACAACAAAAACCACUAGUGAACCCACUACAACUAACACUGUUUCAUCAACAACUGGUGAACGCACUACAACCAUCACUGUUGUGUCAACAACAACUGGUGAACCCACUACAACCAUCACUGGUGUGUCAACAACUGAUGAACCCACUACAACCAUCACUGGUGUGUCAACAACAACUGGUGAACCCACUACAACCAUCACUGGUGUGACAUCAACAACUGGUGAACCCACUACAACCAUCACUGGUGUGACAUCAACAACUGGUGAACCCACUACAACAAUCACUGAGUCAUCAUCAACAACUGGUGAACCCACUACAACUAUAACUGAGUCAUCAUCAACAACUGGUGAACCCACUACAACUAUAACUGAGUCAUCAUCAACAACUGUUGAACCCACUACAACCAUCACUGAGUCAACAAAAACAACUGGUCAACAAACUAGAUCAGUCACUGGUGCAUCGACAACAAUUGGUGAACCCACUACGACCAUCACUGAGUCAACAAAAAUAACUUUUCAACCCACUUCAACAGUCACUGCUGUGUCGACAACAACUGGUGAACCCACUACGACAAUCACUGGUGUUUCUACAGCAGCUAAUGAACCUUCUACAACCAUCACUGGUGUGUCAACAACAACUGGUGAACCCACUACAACUAUCAUUGAGUCUUCAUCAACAACUGGUGAACCCACUACAACCAUCACUGGUUUGUCACCAACAACUGGUGAACCCACUACAACCAUCACUGGUUUGUCACCAACAACUGGUGAACCCACUACAACCAUCAUUGAUGCAUCAAAAACAACUGGUGAACCCACUACAAACAUCACUGGUGUGUCAACAACAACUAAUGAACCUUCUACAACCAUCACUGCUGUGUCGACAACAACUGGUGAACCCACUACAACUAUCAUUGAGUCUUCAUCAACAACUGGUGAACCCACUACAACCAUCACUGGUGUUUCUACAAUAACUAAUGAACCUUCUACAACCAUCACUGGUGUGUCAACAACAACUGGUGAACCCACUAUAACCAUCACUGGUGUGUCAACAACUGGUGAACCCACAACAACAGACACUGCUAUGUCGACAGCAACUGGUGAACCCACUACAUCCAUCACAGUUUCAUCAACAACAACUGAUGAACCCACUACAACAAUCACUGGUGUGUCAACAACAACUGGUGAACCCACUACAACCAUCACUGCUGUGUCGACAACAACUGGUGAACCCACUACAACUAUAACUGAG
ensembl:lncRNA